GUGAUGGGAUGGAAACUGCUGAUCUAGAGUAUCGGAGAGGAAAGUGGAAUUCCUAGUGUAGCGGUGAAAUGCGUAGAUAUUAGGAAGAACACCAGUGGCGAAGGCGACUUUCUGGACGAAAACUGACGCUGAGGCGCGAAAGCCAGGGGAGCGAACGGGAUUAGAUACCCCGGUAGUCCUGGCCGUAAACGAUGGGUACUAGGUGUAGGAGGUAUCGACCCCUUCUGUGCCGGAGUUAACGCAAUAAGUACCCCGCCUGGGGAGUACGACCGCAAGGUUGAAACUCAAAGGAAUUGACGGGGGCCCGCACAAGCGGUGGAGUAUGUGGUUUAAUUCGACGCAACGCGAAGAACCUUACCAGGUCUUGACAUUGAUGGACAGAACUAGAGAUAGUUCCUCUUCUUCGGAAGCCAGAAAACAGGUGGUGCA
rnacentral:rRNA from 1 species